AGUCCCAGUGCCACAAGGGAGACAGAG
rnacentral:misc_RNA from 1 species